rnacentral:rRNA from 1 species
UACCGGGGGGGCAAGCGUUGUUCGGAAUUACUGGGCGUAAAGGGCUCGUAGGCGGCCAACUAAGUCGGACGUGAAAUCCCCAGGCUCAACCUGGGAACUGCGUCCGAUACUGGAUGGCUUGAAUCCGGGAGAGGGAUGCAGAAUUCCAGGUGUAGCGGUGAAAUGCGUAGAUAUCUGGAGGAAUACCGGUGGCGAAGGCGGUUCUCUGGGAAUGUCCUGACGCUGAGGAGCGAAAGUGUGGGGAGCGAACAGG